GCUGGAAGGCGCAGAUAGUGGCGGACGGGUGAGUAACGCGUGAGGACAUGUCUGCAGGAGGGGGAUAACGUUUGGAAACGGACGCUAAGACCCCGUAAGCCGGGAGGUAAAAGUGGCGAAAGCCAGCCUGUGGAGUGACUCGCGUCCUAUCAGCUAGUUGGCGGGGUGAAGGCCCACCAAGGCGAUGACGGGUAGCCGACCUGAGAGGGUGGCCGGCCACACUGGAACUGAGUUUUGGUCCAGACUCCUACGGGAGGCAGCAGUGGGGAAUAUUGGGCAAUGGGCGGAAGCCUGACCCAGCGACGCCGCGUGGGGGAAGAAGUCUUUCGGGAUGUAAACCCUUGUUGUACGGGACGAAGGAAGUGACGGUACCGUACGA
rnacentral:rRNA from 1 species